rnacentral:rRNA from 1 species
UACGUAGGUGGCAAGCGUUGUCCGGAUUUACUGGGCGUAAAGAGCGCGCAGGCGGUCGUUCAAGUCGCGUGUGAAAGCCCCCGGCUCAACUGGGGAGGGUCACGCGAUACUGAUCGACUCGAAGGCAGGAGAGGGUAGUGGAAUUCCCGGUGUAGUGGUGAAAUGCGUAGAUAUCGGGAGGAACACCAGUGGCGAAGGCGACUUUCUGGUCUGUAACUGACACUGAGGCGCGAAAGCGUGGGGAGCAAACAGG